CCAUGGUGACUUGCAAGCAACUCACUGUACUUUAGUAUCGGACUAUUUGAAUUUAUAAUUCAAUGAUGAAAAGUUUUUGGGUGUAGUCAAGUACUUGUUAAGUUGGUGCAUAAGUCAAGAUGGAAUUGACCCCUCUGGAUUAGUAGGAGUUAUGUAUCAAUGUAUUUCAAUUUAGCAAAACCUGGGCUUGGGUAAUCCAUGUGAUGGAUUUGAAAGAUUGA
rnacentral:lncRNA from 1 species